AUUGAACGCUGGCGGCAGGCCUAACACAUGCAAGUCGAGCGGUUGACGGGAGCUUGCUCCCUGAUUCAGCGGCGGACGGGUGAGUAAUGCCUAGGAAUCUGCCUAUUAGUGGGGGACAACGUUUCGAAAGGAACGCUAAUACCGCAUACGUCCUACGGGAGAAAGCAGGGGACCUUAGGGCAUUGCGCUAAUAGAUGAGCCUAGGUCGAGAUGAGGUUGUUGGUGAGGUAAUGGCUCACCAAGGCGACGAUCCGUAACUGGUCUGAGAGGCUGAUCAGUCAGACGGGAACGGAGACCCGGUCCAGACUCCUGCGAGAGGCAGCGGUGGGGAAUAUUGGACAAGGGGCGAAAGCCUGAUCCAGCCAUGCCGCGUGUGUGAAGAAGGUCUUCGGAUUGUAAAGCACUUUAAGUUGGGAGGAAGGGUUGUAGAUUAAUACUCUGCAAUUUUGACGUUACCGACAGAAUAAGCACCGGCUAACUCUGUGCCAGCCGCCGCCGUAACAC
rnacentral:rRNA from 1 species